CUGGAGGUAUCAGAAGUGCGAAUGCUGACAUAAGUAACGAUAAAGCGGGUGAAAAGCCCGCUCGCCGGAAGACCAAGGGUUCCUGUCCAACGUUAAUCGGGGCAGGGUGAGUCGACCCCUAAGGCGAGGCCGAAAGGCGUAGUCGAUGGGAAACAGGUUAAUAUUCCUGUACUUGGUGUUACUGCGAAGGGGGGACGGAGAAGGCUAUGUUGGCCGGGCGACGGUUGUCCCGGUUUAAGCGUGUAGGCUGGUUUUCCAGGCAAAUCCGGAAAAUCAAGGCUGAGGCGUGAUGACGAGGCACUACGGUGCUGAAGCAACAAAUGCCCUGCUUCCAGGAAAAGCCUCUAAGCAUCAGGUAACAUCAAAUCGUACCCCAAACCGACACAGGUGGUCAGGUAGAGAAUACCAAGGCGCUUGAGAGAACUCGGGUGAAGGAACUAGGCAAAAUGGUGCCGUAACUUCGGGAGAAGGCACGCUGAUAUGUAGGUGAAGUCCCUCGCGGAUGGAGCUGAAAUCAGUCGAAGAUACCAGCUGGCUGCAACUGUUUAUUAAAAACACAGCACUGUGCAAACACGAAAGUGGACGUAUACGGUGUGACGCCUGCCCGGUGCCGGAAGGUUAAUUGAUGGGGUUAGCGCAAGCGAAGCUCUUGAUCGAAGCCCCGGUAAACGGCGGCCGUAACUAUAACGGUCCUAAGGUAGCGAAAUUCCUUGUCGGGUAAGUUCCGACCUGCACGAAUGGCGUAAUGAUGGCCAGGCUGUCUCCACCCGAGACUCAGUGAAAUUGAACUCGCUGUGAAGAUGCAGUGUACCCGCGGCAAGACGGAAAGACCCCGUGAACCUUUACUAUAGCUUGACACUGAACAUUGAGCCUUGAUGUGUAGGAUAGGUGGGAGGCUUUGAAGUGUGGACGCCAGUCUGCAUGGAGCCGACCUUGAAAUACCACCCUUUAAUGUUUGAUGUUCUAACGUUGACCCGUAAUCCGGGUUGCGGACAGUGUCUGGUGGGUAGUUUGACUGGGGCGGUCUCCUCCUAAAGAGUAACGGAGGAGCACGAAGGUUGGCUAAUCCUGGUCGGACAUCAGGAGGUUAGUGCAAUGGCAUAAGCCAGCUUGACUGCGAGCGUGACGGCGCGAGCAGGUGCGAAAGCAGGUCAUAGUGAUCCGGUGGUUCUGAAUGGAAGGGCCAUCGCUCAACGGAUAAAAGGUACUCCGGGGAUAACAGGCUGAUACCGCCCAAGAGUUCAUAUCGACGGCGGUGUUUGGCACCUCGAUGUCGGCUCAUCACAUCCUGGGGCUGAAGUAGGUCCCAAGGGUAUGGCUGUUCGCCAUUUAAAGUGGUACGCGAGCUGGGUUUAGAACGUCGUGAGACAGUUCGGUCCCUAUCUGCCGUGGGCGCUGGAGAACUGAGGGGGGCUGCUCCUAGUACGAGAGGACCGGAGUGGACGCAUCACUGGUGUUCGGGUUGUCAUGCCAAUGGCACUGCCCGGUAGCUAAAUGCGGAAGAGAUAAGUGCUGAAAGCAUCUAAGCACGAAACUUGCCCCGAGAUGAGUUCUCCCUGACUCCUUGAGAGUCCUGAAGGAACGUUGAAGACGACGACGUUGAUAGGCCGGGUGUGUAAGCGCAGCGAUGCGUUGAGCUAACCGGUACUAAUGAACCGUGAGGCUUAACCUUACAACGCCGAAG
rnacentral:rRNA from 1 species